AACGAACGCUGGCGGCAGGCUUAACACAUGCAAGUCGAGCGCCCCGCAAGGGGAGCGGCAGACGGGUGAGUAACGCGUGGGAAUCUAGCCAGCUCUACGGAAUAACGCAUGGAAACGUGUGCUAAUACCGUAUACGUCCUUCGGGAGAAAGAUUUAUCGGAGAUGGAUGAGCCCGCGUUGGAUUAGCUAGUUGGUGGGGUAAAGGCCUACCAAGGCGACGAUCCAUAGCUGGUCUGAGAGGAUGAUCAGCCACACUGGGACUGAGACACGGCCCAGACUCCUAUGGGAGGCAGCAGUGGGGAAUAUUGGACAAUGGGCGCAAGCCUGAUCCAGCCAUGCCGCGUGAGUGAUGAAGGCCCUAGGGUUGUAAAGCUCUUUCACCGGUGAAGAUAAUGACGGUAACCGGAGAAGAAGCCCCGGCUAACUUCGUGCCAGCCGCCGCCGUAAUAC
rnacentral:rRNA from 1 species